rnacentral:rRNA from 1 species
AUGAGCUGGUCCGACCUGCCGGCCGACCUCGUAGCGGCGGUCGCCGACAGGAUCGGCGACCACGCCGAUUUCGCCUGCUUCCACUCCGUGUGCCCGUCCUGGCACUCGGCGUCGGCGGCGCACGGCGCCCGCCGCAGCGCUCCCCUGCUCCUCCUGCCUGCCGAAAACCACUUCCGCGUCGACCGCCGCCUCUGGUCGCUCGCGGACGACACCAUCGCGAGCAUCCCGGCGCCGGCCGCUCGCGGGAACAACUUCCACUUCGCUUCACCGCGGGGCUGGACGCUGGCCGUGACCAGCGACUUCUCGGCCACGCUACUGCACCCCUUCACCGGCGCCUCGGCCAGCCUACCCACGCUGCCACCCUCGCUCUGCUUCGAAUUCAUCGUCCGCGACAUGGCGUGGGAUCGGUCGCCGCACGGCGUCAUGAUCGGGGUCGAGCGGUCGGCGCCGACGACCAGGGAGUACCUGUGCGCCUUCUUCUGCCGGCCGGGCGACAGGUCGUGGAGCCCGGUGGAGUGCUCGGAGCUGGACCAGGUCAGCAGCAUCACCUACUGCGACUGCGACGGCGUGUUCUACCUCUUCGAUGGGGAGACCCGCAAGACGGUCGGCCCGUACAGCGAGACCUUCGCCGUGGCCUCCGUGAUCCAGCCGCCGGAGAUGCUCGUGCCGGAGCACCUGCGCAGGGGAGCCCCGUGGGACCGGCGCAAAGUCGAGUCCACGCUCAUCGUGUCCUCCUCCGAUUUCCUCGUGAUCGUCAGGACGCACCUCCUGCACCCGGGCGAAACGGUCGGCUCGAGGGAGCUCUUCAAGGCCUUCCGCUGGGACCGCCGCCGCGGGAACCCCACGGGGUGGGCCGAGGUCGACGACAUCGACGACCGCGCCGUGUUCGUGAACGGCUUCCGCGGCUUCUGCGUCGAGGCCAACAGGGUCAACGGGGUACGGAGGAACUGCAUGUACGCGGCGAGCUCGUACCAGGACGGGAGUUACACCAAGGGAAGGUACGCCGUCUCCGUGCUCGACCUCGCCGGCCUCACCACCGACCGCCUCUCCCUCGGUAACUUGGGCAACUGCCGGUGCCGUCCAUUCUGGCAUUGGCCUUCCUGGUGCAUGCCGAAUCUGCACUGA